AUACGUAGGGGGCGAGCGUUAUCCGGAAUUACUGGGCGUAAAGGGUGCGCAGGCGGCCAUUUAAGUCAGAUGUGAAAGGCUACGGCUUAACCGUAGUUAGCAUUUGAAACUAGAAGGCUUGAGUGCAGUAGAGGAGAGUGGAAUUCCUAGUGUAGCGGUGAAAUGCGUAGAUAUUAGGAGGAACACCAGUGGCGAAGGCGACUCUCUGGACUGCAACUGACGCUGAGGCACGAAAGCGUGGGUAGCGAACAGGAUUAGAUACCCUGGUAGUCCACGCCGUAAACGAUGAGUGCUAGGUGUUGGAGGAGACAUCCUUCAGUGCCGGAGCUAACGCAUUAAGCACUCCGCCUGGGGAGUACGGUCGCAAGAUUAAA
rnacentral:rRNA from 1 species